rnacentral:lncRNA from 1 species
UGGGUUUUUGGAGGGUAGUUACUUAUUUUCGUGAAAGCAAUCUUAAGGGUAUUUUGUGUGAGUAAUUAGUGUUUUUGUUUCUCAAGGGUGUUAAUUAAUUUGUUUGUGAGUGAAUCUGAAAGAGGGAUCCGAGAGAGGUUUGGUGUUUGUUUGUUUUUUUCAACAUAACUUCUACUGUAAGUAUACCAUACUAUGCAAAAAUUUAAAAGGCCACUGAAUAUAUUGUUUAGACGUCUCGUGUCUGCAUAUAAUAACCUGCUGCAUGUUCAAAUAAAGGUAUGCCUCUCUCUAGUAUAUUUUUUAUUUAAAUUUCAUAAUCAUUCAAUAUUUUGAUUCUUAAUGAUGAUUGUUAGCUCCGGCUUAAUGUUCAACCUCAUAUCUUAAAGCGGCAAAUGUUGUUCUCUUUUGAGACUAGAUUUUUUGUGGCGCUUGUAGUUUGUGUGCUUGGUAAAAGUUUAUGAAAAUGAAAUUCGACAUUAAUUUAUGGAGGUGACUGUUAUGAGAAGUUCUCAGUUGACGAUUGCAAGAUCAUCAGAUGAUUGUGCGGCCUAGGAGGUUCAAUGUUGUACAAUGAAAUGAAAUAUAAUAGAGUGAUUUUACUUACACUCAAACAUAUAAAAUGUACGUAUUUAUAAGGACACUAAAUUUUUCCAAAUGAUUCUUCAAAUCGUUCAGGAAAAAAAAAACGCUCCCUAUCUAGAGAAAUAUUUAAAUUAAAUAAUAUGGUCAAGGGUUAUGAUGUUUGUAUCUAUAUAUUUUCUUAGGCAUGGACAUUAGAAAAACUAGUUGAGAUAAUUAAGGUCCCUUUCAUCAUUUGCAACAUCCGCAUGGAGUUUCCGUUCGAGCAUUUCAAACCCUCUAAAGAGGCUUACAAUGCCCUCUAUCUCCUCCAGACUAUAAGUUCCACGAAAUAACGUAAAAUUACCUCACAAUUUCAAACCAUCUAGAUGUUGGAAAGAAAAAUGAAAAGUUAUAGCUAAACGAUUCUUUUUUUUUUCUCAAUCUUUGAGAGGGCAUACAAUUCCCUUCUGAUGAAAUGUAACCAGAGAUGAAGUGCUGCUUUGGGAUUCCACUUUUAAUGAAUGAAACUUAUAAGGAAUACAAGCUAACAACUUUUGAGCAGACGAAACGUAUAGAUAUAUAGUAUAUAAGUUAACAAUAGUAAAAAAAUAAUAAAACCAUUAUCAUAAUAGCUAGGUUAAACCCCCACACACACAUACAUGUAUAUACAUAGGCUCUUUAUCCAAAGGGAUCUCAAUUUUUGGGUAAAAAUGGGGAUUAGUUGUAGGGUCUACUUUACGUCGAAUUUCAACGAUCUGAACGUCUAUUUUGUAAGUCUCAAUUCAUCGAUUAUACUUAUAAGUCGCCGCUGCUACUUGAUGGUCAUCAACCUUUGGUGUCUAGGAAGUAGACAACAACAACAACAACAACAAAGCCUUUUCCCACUAAGUGGGGUCGGCUAUAUGAAUCCUAGAACGCCAUUGCGCUCGGUUUUGUGUCAUGUCCUCCGUUAGAUCCAAGUACUCUAAGUCUUUUCUUAGGGUCUCUUCCAAAGUUUUCCUAGGUCUUCCUCUACCCCUUCGGCCCCGAACCUCUGUUCCGUAGUCACAUCUUCGAACCGGAGCGUCAGUAGGCCUUCUUUGCACAUGUCCAAACCACCGUAACCGAUUUUCCCUCAUCUUUCCUUCAACUUCGGCUACUCCUACUUUACCUCGGAUAUCCUCAUUCACAAUCUUCUCCUUUCUCGUGUGCCCACACAUCCCACGAAGCAUCCUUAUCUCCGCUACACCCAUUUUGUGUACGUGUUGAUGCUUCACCGCCCUA